UACGGAGGGAGCGAGCGUUGUCCGAAGUUACUGGGCGUAAAGCGCGCGUAGGCGGGAAAUUAAGUGAGAAGUGAAAGGCUGGGGCUUAACCCCAUGCAGUGCUCCUCAUACUGGUUUUCUUGAGGGUGGUAGAGAGAAGUGGAAUGGCUGGUGUAGCGGUGAAAUGCGCAGAUAUCAGGAGGAACACCGGUGGCGAAGGCGGGUCUCUGGGCCGAUACUGACGCUGAGGAGCGAAAGCGUGGGGAGCGAACAGG
rnacentral:rRNA from 1 species